UACGUAGGGGGCAAGCGUUGGCCGGAAUCAUUGGGCGUAAAGCGCGUGUAGGCGGUCCGGUAAGUCCGUUGUGAAAACUGGAGGCUCAACCUUCAGACGUCGACGGAAACCGUCUGGCUAGAGUCCGGAAGAGGAGAGUGGAAUUCCUGGUGUAGCGGUGAAAUGCGCAGAUAUCAGGAAGAACACCGAUGGCGAAGGCAGCUCUCUGGGACGGUACUGACGCUGAGACGCGAAAGCGUGGGGAGCGAACAGG
rnacentral:rRNA from 1 species